rnacentral:lncRNA from 1 species
GCGCCCCUUCAGCGCUGUGAUUCAACUGGAGAAAGGAUAAAGUGUCCAAACGCAGAGAAAAACUCCUGCUGAAGUGACUGAUCUCCACACUGUUAUAAAGAUGGCGUUUAUUAAAGAGGAGAGUGAAGAUGUGAAGAUUGAAGAAACAUUCACAGUCAAACAGGAAGAUCUGCAGGAACAAACAGAGAACGGUGGAUUCCAUACAAAGACUGGUUGCUGAGGAGUGUCUGGAUCAAGGGACCACAGCUAAACAUCAGAAGAGAAUUCUGCAUAAGACAGAGAAAAGACAGCCAAACAGGUUUGGAACAAGUGAAUGAGUUCUCUACAGUCAACUGACAACUACAUAACACUUACACAUUCUGUCCCUCA